AUGUCUAUAUAUAGCCCACUAAUAUGCACUAGCUACUUGCCAAUGUGGAACCACAAUCAUGGAGCACGCACCAUUUCUUUUGGCCGAACUCCGGCGACGACGAUGAGGUGUUCCAGGUCGGAAUAUCCCAAGGGCGUCGUUGUAAAGUUUCCUAGCUUUCGGGGUCUUUUUUGCUGUUAUGCCCCUUCCUCCGUUUCUCUUCACUUUUCUGCUUCGUGUUGUGCCGUUUGGUCGGUAAAGCGCGACCGCGCCAGGCUGCCACUUCGCGGGGAGCAUCGCCCCUUCGGCGCGCAGCCACUUGCUGCCGGAACCAGCGGUGACUACGAGCCGAAGCUGCAGCGGGCCGGCCGGCGCGCGCGACGUGCGCCACCCCCCGGGUGA
rnacentral:rRNA from 1 species